GGCCCGGUAGGCAAAUUGGCAAAGCCGGCGCACUCAAAAUGCGUUGUUUGCGGGUUCGAGUCCCGCCCGGGCUACCC
rnacentral:tRNA from 3 species